rnacentral:lncRNA from 1 species
CAGAGAUCUGGGGGGGAACCCGCAGUAUUGACAGGGGCUGACAGGAAGGGGGCGCCCAGCCCUGGGGCCCCUGAUUUCUGCCCCACCCACUCGCGGUUUUUGGUGUGGCCCCGCCUCCUGGAGUCUCAAACUGCCCGAGGCCACGAGAAGGUCACCGUGGAAAAGCGACCGGGGCUCAGAGGAAAAGAGUGUCCAUUUCGUGUCACCCGGGACACUCAGAGACGCUCUAGAAACCUUCUGAACGCAGGCCCUGCCCCAGCUUGGUUUGCAUGGGACACCUCAGAGGUCACCUCAUCGCCCGGAGGCCGUGGCCACGGAACAACAUCCGGCAGGUGGAUUCCUCCAGGCAAGCCGGCCGAGAAAGGCAGCUUUAAGACCAGGAGUUAGGCUGUUCCCGCACAUCUUCUUCCAAAGCUGACUCACAGUCGGCCUCUUCCAGGCAGCCCUGACUCCGGGCAAGAGGGCCCUCACCUGUGCGUGAUGCUCUGGAAUGUUCUUCCGUUAUGUCCCUGCCCAGGACGUGAAGCUCAGUUCUCAACGAGCUCGUGGAGAAGACCCAAGGCUGGAACUCAGAACCCGGAGAGCCUUCUGCCGCUGCCUUGCUCUCCGACCGUCAACACUCCUGUCCGUCGCCCUGCGACUUCCACCCCGGCCUGGUCAGUGGACUCCACCCGCGCCCAGCUGAAUGACAGACCCCGAUCCUCCUCUCAAGGCAGCGCUGACCCAACUCUGGGCCGCUGCUUGGUGGUGUUACGCUCCCUGCAAAUGUCUUCUGGAGACCGCACGAAGGACCGUGCCUGGCGCCUUCGCCGUCUCACCCGGUGCUUUGCUGGCAGCGGUUUCAGAGAGUAUCCGGAGAAGAUGGGCCACUCAUCUACCUACCCAUCCUUCCAUCCGUCCGUCCUUCCAUGCCCGGCCCCCUGACCCACUGGUUGAUUCCUCUCUGAAGCCUCGCUGCUAAACAGUGAACCGUUCAUCCGGGUUUUCAGUCUGACUUUCUUACUCUUUGCCGCGGGACACAGACCUGCCCCCAGGGAGAGGCCAUUGCGGGGGGCGGAGCCAUGGCGGGGACAG